UGGAGGGCUGCUAUGUGGGGCGGAGGGCCGUGAUGUGGGGCAGAGGGCCGCUAUGUGGGGGCAGAGGGCCGCUAUGUGGGGCAGAGAGGCUGUGAUGUGGGGCAGAGGGCCGCUAUGGUGGGGCAGAGGGCCGCUAUGUGGGGCAGAGAGGUCAUGAUGUGGGGCAGAGGGCUGUGAUGUGGGGCAGAGAGGCCGUGAUGUGGGGCAGAGGGGUGCUCUGUGGGGCAGAGCCCAUAGUGUGAUGGGGUCCUGUGGUUGCGCUAUGGGGCAGAGCCCCACGUGGGGGAGGUUAUGGGGCAGAGCCCAUAGUGUGAUGGGGUCAGGUGGUUGCGCUAUGGGGCAGAGCCCCACAUUGUGGAGGUUAUGGGGCAGAGCCCCACAUGGGGGAGGUUAUGGGGCAGAGCCCAUAGUGUGAUGGGGUCAGGUGGUUGCGCUAUGGGGCAGAGCCCCACGUGGAGGAGGUUAUGGGGCAGAGCCCAUAGUGUGAUGGUGUUCCGUGGUUACGCUAUGGGGCAGAGCCCCACAUGGCGGAGGUUAUGGGGCAGAGCCCCACGUGGCGGAGGUUAUGGGGCAGAGCCCAUAGCGUGAUGGUGUUCCGUGGUUACGCUAUGGGGCAGAGCCCCACAUGGCGGAGGUUAUGGGGCAGAGCCCAUAGUGUGAUGGGGUCCGGUGGUUACGCUAUGGGGCAGAGCCCCACAUGGAGGAGGUUAUGGGGCAGAGCUCAUACUGUGAUGGUGUUCCGUGGUUGCACUAUGGGGCAGAGCCCCACGUGGGGGAGGUUAUGGGGCAGAGCCCCACAUUGUGGAGGUUAUGGGGCAGAGCUCAUAAUGUGAUGGGGUCCUGUGGUUGCGCUAUGGGGCAGAGCCCCACAUGGAGGAGGUUAUGGGGCAGAGCUCCUCAUAGGGGUCGUUAUGGGGCAGAGCCCCACAUGGAGGAGGUUAUGGGGCAGAGCCCAUAGUGUGAUGGGGUCCGGUGGUUGCGCUAUGGGGCAGCGCCCCACGUGGGGGAGGUUAUGGGGCAGAGCCCCACGUGGAGGGGGUUAUGGGGCAGAGUCCCACAUGGGGGAGGUUGUGGGGCAGAGCCCAUUGUGUGAUGGGGUCUGGUGGUUACGCUAUGGGGCAGAGCCCCACGUGAGGGAGGUUAUGGGGCAGAGCCCAUAGUGUGAUGGGGUCCUGUGGUUGCGCUAUGGGGCAGAGCCCCACAUGAGGGAGGUUAUGGGACAGAGCCCAUAGUGUGAUGGGGUCCGGUGGUUACACUAUGGGGCAGAGCCCCACAUGGAGGAGGUUAUGGGGCAGAGCCCCACGUGGGGGAGGUUAUGGGGCAGAGCUCAUACUGUGAUGGGGUCCGGUGGUUACGCUAUGGGGCAGAGCCCCACGUGGGGGAGGUUAUGGGGCAGAGCCCAUAGUGUGAUGGAGUCCGGUGGUUACGCUAUGGGGCAGAGCCUUACAUGGGGGAGUUAUGGGGCAGAGCCCAUAGUGUGAUGGGGUCCUGUGGUUGUGCUAUGGGGCAGAGCCCCACAUGGAGGAGGUUAUGGGGCAGAGCCCAUAGUGUGAUGGGGUCCAGUGGUUACGCUAUGGGGCAGAGCGCCACGUGAGGGAGGUUAUGGGGCAGAGCCCAUAGUGUGAUGGUGUUCCGUGGUUACGCUAUGGGGCAGAGCCCCACAUGGCGGAGGUUAUGGGGCAGAGCCCAUACUGUGAUGGUGUUCCGUGGUUACGCUAUGGGGCAGAGCCCCACAUGGUGGAGGUUAUGGGGCAGAGCCCAUAGUGUGAUGGUGUUCCGUGGUUACGCUAUGGGGCAGAGCCCCACGUGGGGGAGGUUAUGGGGCAGAGCUCCUCGUAGGAGAGGUUAUGGGGCAGACCCAGCGCUAUGGGGCAGUUGCAGCACUAUAGGGCAGACCCACUGCUAUGGGUCCCACCCUUUGCUAUGGGGCAGAUGCAGUGCUAUGGGGCAGACCCGGCACUAUAGGGCAGAUGCAACACCAUAGGGCAGACCCACUGCUAUGGGUCACACCCAGCGCUAUGGGGCAGACGCAGUGCUAUGGGGCAGAGGUAGCGCUAUGGGUCACACCCAUUGCUGUGGGGCAGAGGUAGCGCUAUGGGUCACACCCAGCGCUAUAGGGCAGAGGUAGCGCUAUGGGCCACACCCAUUGCUGUGGGGCAGAGGCAGCGCUAUGGGUCACACCCAGCGCUAUGGGGCAGACCCAGUGCUAUGGGGCAGGGGCAGCGCUAUGGGUCACCCCCGUUGCUGUGGGGCAGCGGCAACGCUAUGGGGCAGACCCAGUGCUAUGGGCCACACCCAGCGCUAUGGGGCAGACCCACUGCUAUGGGUCACACCCAGCGCUGUGGGGCAGACCCACUGCUAUGGGUCACACCUGGUGCUAUGGGGCAGACCCACUGCUAUGGGUCACACCCAGCACUAUGGGGCAGACCCACUGCUAUGGGUCACACCCGGCGCUAUGGGUCACACCUGGUGCUAUGGGGCAGAGGCGGUGCUAUGGGUCACAGCCAUUGCUGUGGGGCAGACGCAGUGCUAUGGGGCAGAUCCAGCACUAUAGGGCAGACCCAGUGCUAUGGGGCAGACCCACUGCUAUGGGUCACACCCGGCGCUAUGGGGCAGACCCGUUGCUGUGGGGCAGAGGCGGCGCUAUGGGGCAGAUUCCCGUGGAGGGCGCGGUCGGUGGGGCAGCGCCGUGGGGCACAGCCGCCCCACGCAGCCAAACUCC
ensembl:lncRNA